ensembl:lncRNA
UACGGCGGGUCCGCCGUACCUCCCGGGCCGCCUCCCCCAGGUCUCACUUCCUUUGCUUCUGCGACAAUCCUCUGAGAAUUCACCACACAGUCGGCUCUGGUGCAGAUUUUCAAUCCUCCGGAUUUUUAAAGAGAACUUACCUACCUGUUGUUGCCCCGUCGUUCUGGGACGGAAACGCCAUUCUGAAUCUGCAUGCCCCGCCCUUUCCCGCCCGAGGAGGCGUGGCUACGGCGGGUCCGCCGUACCUCCCGGGCCGCCUCCGCGCGCCCUCAGCGGGAGCUGGGCUUCUCUUUCGUGCCAACGGAGAGAAAAGUCAGCACCGCGGCCGCGAAGGCCGGGCGGCGGCAAGAGGGCCUGAGGAAGGCAGCUGGCGGCGGACAGUUUCCCGAAGGCACACGGGGUCGCGAGACGGCUUCACCGGAAACGCCCGGACUGUAUCGUGUUACAUCGGGUGUCCGCGGGCGGAAAGACGAGCUUGGGAGGCGGCGGAGGAGGGGCUCACCGAUUCAGGGAGCCGAAGGUCUUGGGGGCGUCCCCCCGAGCGGCGGGGCCAGCCUGCGCGCCGGGCGGAGGGCGCAGGGCGCAGGGCGCAGGGCGGAGGGCGGAGGGCGGAGGGCGGAGGGCGGAGGGGGGCGCAGGGCCGGCGGUGGGGAGGGGCGGGGAGGCGUGUCUGGGGGCGGGGCGGCCGCAUGGAUUCUCUCCGCCUCCGGCACCUGCGUCUCUGGGUGCUUCUGGGGAGGAACCGUGUCCUGGGCUGCGUCCCUCGAGCUCCCCGUGCCUGGGACAUGGUUUCCCUACAGCUCUUCCUCACCUGGCAGAUACUCUGCACCCUGCUUGGCUGUCACUUCUUGCAGAAAGCCUGCCUUAAGGGCCCUGCCGCCCCCGCCCCCAGUCUCGGUAGCGGCCUUCCUACGUAUUUCAUCCCACCCGGUAAUUCAUUUCGAGGGCACCGUUCACCACCCUUUCUGGCAAUCCUUUGUCCCUGCCGCGGAAAUCGGAGAUCAUCGAGUGCGAUGACCCUCAUCAGUGCUUCUCUCUGUAUCCCAGCACCGGUCCGGCGCCCCGCGGGUAGGAGAUGCUCCGCAAAGGUUUGCUCGCUGAAUUAAAGAUGCGCAAGAGGGACUGAAUCAGAGAAGAAGUUAGGAGGCUGCUGGCCCGAUGCGGGGGUGAAGAAGGGAAGAUCUGGCCAGGGGCGGCAGGACACCAGAGAGGAGAGGCGACUGCCGGGGAUGCUCUGGGCGGGCAUCAAGGCCCGUCGAUGCGUUAAGGCCUCUGGCCAAGUUGGGGUAAAGGUUCCCCCUGUGGCGAAGACCGCCGGCUGCCCGCUCAGCCUUUCCCGUCCGCCCUCCUAAGAGAGGUUCCGUGUAGCGGGGGAGUUGAUGUUGCUUUCAUCUGGUCUCAGAAGAGCUAGGCGGUAUCGUGGGUGUAAGACUGAAGCCCCGUCGGUCGUUUCACUCUGCAGCACGGGAAGCCUGAUGGCAGGUGCUGCCCGAGCCCUCCGGAUGCCAGCCCCUGGGCUGAGGGCUCUCCGUGUAUUAGCGCAGUUAAUUCCCUCGAGGGCCGAGGGCCGGUGAGAAAGGGGAUCAUGAUAACAGCUCUCCGCUUCGGGGACUUGUGAAGCUACCCGUGGAAACGACAGGCAUAUGGGAAUCUCGUGAUAAGUGCGCUCUAGGAAAAGUCCCCGCCCGUCGGUCACAUGGAGAGAACAUCCGUUUUACGGUGUUGUGAAGAGUCUUCCCCUGCCCACCCCGGGCAUCCCUGCUUCCCGUCCCACUUUCCCUGGCUUUAUUUUCCUGCCAGCUGCCGAGUCGUUCCGGACGCCCGCGAGCAUCCCACGGCACAGAGAGGACUACAGACACGGCCGUGUGGGCACACAGGCGCACAGUUAGAUUCGCAACUGUACCGACGGUGUUGGCCUAUCUGCUUCUCGCCUCGACGGCAGAGACUCUGUUUGCUCCUCCGUCCCCAGCACCUGGGACGGUGCUCGGCACGGCCUUGGCGCUUGAGGAAUAUUUGUGGAAGGAAAGGAGGAGGGUCAAAUGAGACGACAUCUCACGUGCUCAGCCUGCACCUGACACGACUCUUCGGGCCUCCCCAUCCCAGGAUCCCUGUUCAGCUCUGCGUGUCUCAGACCAUCUUCUGCUCAGACUUUGGUUUCCCUGAGAAGGGGGUUGCUGCGGUCUGAACCCCGCUACCCUGUUCAUCUCUCGCGGGCCUCCUCCUUGUCCUGCCUGUUCUCCUGGCCGUUGGGGCAGGUGUCUUAGUCUCAAGCCUGGGUCGGC